GACGAACGCUGGCGGCGUGCUUAACACAUGCAAGUCGAACGGAGUGGCGAACGGGUGAGUAACACGUAGGUGAUCUGCCUUGCACUUCGGGAUAAGCUUGGGGAACCGGGUCUAAAACCGGAUAGAGCAAGAUGGGCUCGCGGCUUAUCAGCUUGUUGGUGGGGGAAUGGCCUACCAAGGGGUCGACGGGUAGCCGGCCUGAGAGGGGGUACAGCGACAAUGGGACUGCGGUACGGCCCAGACUCCUACGGGAGGCAGCAGUGGGGAAUAUUGCACAAUGGGCGGAAGCCUGAUGCAGCGACGCCGCGUGGGGGAUGAAGGCCUUCGGGUUGUAAACUCCUUUAGACAGGGACGCGGUACCUGUAUAAGAAGCACCGGCUAACUACGUGCCAGCAGCCGCGGUAAUAC
rnacentral:rRNA from 1 species